rnacentral:rRNA from 1 species
AUACGUAGGUGGCAAGCGUUGUCCGGAUUUACUGGGUGUAAAGGGCGUGUAGGCGGAGAUGCAAGUCAGGAGUGAAAUCUAGGGGCUCAACCCCUAAACUGCUUUUGAAACUGUAUCCCUUGAGUAUCGGAGAGGCAGGCGGAAUUCCUCGUGUAGCGGUGAAAUGCGUAGAUAUUAGGAGGGAAACCAGUGGGGAAGGCGGCCUGCUGGACGACGACUGACGCUGAGGCGCGAGAGCGUGGGGAGCGAACAGGAUUAGAGACCCGGGUAGACCACGCGGUAAACAAUGAAUGCUAGGUGUUGCGGGUAUCGACCCCUGCAGUGCCGGAGUAAACACAAUAAGCAUUCUGCCUGGGGAGUACGGCCGCAAGGUUGAAACUCAAAUGAAUUGACUGGG